UACGUAGGGUGCGAGCGUUGUCCGGAAUUAUUGGGCGUAAAGGGCUCGUAGGCGGUUUGUCGCGUCGGGAGUGAAAACCCAGGGCUUAACUCUGGGCUUGCUUUCGAUACGGGCAGACUAGAGGCAUGCAGGGGAGAACGGAAUUCCUGGUGUAGCGGUGAAAUGCGCAGAUAUCAGGAGGAACACCGGUGGCGAAGGCGGUUCUCUGGGCCUGACCUGACGCUGAGGAGCGAAAGCGUGGGGAGCGAACAGG
rnacentral:rRNA from 1 species